rnacentral:rRNA from 1 species
GACGAACGCUGGCGGCGUGCCUAAUACAUGCAAGUAGAACGCACAGUUUAUACCGUAGCUUGCUACACCAUAGACUGUGAGUUGCGAACGGGUGAGUAACGCGUAGGUAACCUGCCUGGUAGCGGGGGAUAACUAUUGGAAACGAUAGCUAAUACCGCAUAAUAUUAAUUAUUGCAUGAUAAUUAAUUGAAAGGUGCAAUUGCACCACUACCAGAUGGACCUGCGUUGUAUUAGCUAGUAGGUGAGGUAACGGCUCACCUAGGCGACGAUACAUAGCCGACCUGGGAGGGUGAUCGGCCACACUGGGACUGAGACACGGCCCAGACUCCUACGGGAGGCAGCAGUAGGGAAUCUUCGGCAAUGGACGAAAGUCUGACCGAGCAACGCCGCGGGAGUGAAGAAGGUUUUCGGAUCGUAAAGCUCUGUUGUAAGAGAAGAACGGGUGUGAGAGUGGAAAGUUCACACUGUGACGGUAUCUUACCAGAAAGAGACGGCUAACUACGUG